rnacentral:siRNA from 1 species
UAUGUUAUGAUAUCGGGAGGC